AAAUUUAAUUGUUUUCUUAAUUUGUAUGAAUGAAGCAUGUAGCGAAAUGAGAUAUUUGGUGUGAAAUGCAUAAUCUUGUUAACCAUUAAAUCUCUGAAACUAAGUUGCGCCUCAAGCUUUCGGGCUGAGAGCACGUAUGUCUUGGUGUCA
rfam:Arabis alpina cultivar Pajares chromosome 6, whole genome shotgun sequence.